GGAGUUAGCCGGUGCUUCUUCUGUGAGUGAUGUCCUUCCUGCCGGUUAUUGACCCGCAGGCCUUCUUCCUCACUGAAAGUGCUUUACAACCCGAAGGCCUUCUUCACACACGCGGCAUGGCUGGAUCAGGGUUGCCCCCAUUGUCCAAUAUUCCCCACUGCUGCCUCCCGUAGGAGUCUGGGCCGUGUCUCAGUCCCAGUGUGGCUGAUCAUCCUCUCAGACCAGCUACGGAUCGUCGCCUUGGUCGAGCCGUUACCUCACCAACCAGCUAAUCCGACAUAGGCUCAUCCGAUAGCGCGAGGCCCGAAGGUCCCCCGCUUUCCCCCGUAGGGCGUAUGCGGUAUUAGCCUGGGUUUCCCCAGGUUAUCCCCCACUACCGGGCAGAUUCCUAUGCAUUACUCACCCGUCCGCCGCUCGCCACCAGGGAGCAAGCUCCCCGUGCUGCCGCUCGACUUGCAUGUGUUAGGCCUGCCGCCAGCGUUCAAUCUGAGCCAGAAUCAAACUCUGA
rnacentral:rRNA from 1 species